rnacentral:rRNA from 1 species
GACGAACGCUGGCGGCGUGCUUAACACAUGCAAGUCGAACGGAAAGGCCUGCUUUCCCUUGUGGAUUGCGGGUACUCGAGUGGCGAACGGGUGAGUAACACGUGAGUGAUCUGCCCCCAACUUGGGUAUAAGCCUGGGAAACUGGGUCUAAUUCCCGAUAGGACUGCAGGGUGGUGCCUGUGGUGGAAAACGAUUUUCUAGUGGUUGGGGAUGAGCUCGCGGCCUAUCAGCUUGUUGGUGGGGUAAUGGCCUACCAAGGCGGCGACGGGUAGCCGGCCUGGGAGGGUGGACGGGCACAUUGAGACUGAGAUACGGCCCAGACUCCGACGGGAGGCAGCAGUGGGGACUAUUGCACCAUGGGCGGAAGCCUGAUGCAGCGACGCCGCGUGGGGGAUGACGGCCUUCGGGUUGUAAACUCCUUUCGACCGCGAGGAAGCCACCUGGUUGGAAGGGUGGUGACGGUAGUGUUAGAAGAAGCACCGGCUAACUACGUG